rnacentral:lncRNA from 1 species
GCUCCAGAAGGGCCGUUCUGGGGAGGACAUGAGGCACAAGGUAUAAGGCCACAGAGAGGAGCCACAAACUAUCAAGGAGAUGUGGAUGUAGAGAGACACUAAGGGAAUGGUGCAGGUGCCAGAUGGAAGGAUCCACGUACCUAAAUCUCAAGAUGAACAAAAACCACCUAAUUGCCAACUAGGAGCCCUGGAAUUGGCCUGGAAUGGAGAAGUUUGUCGCAGUUCAGCCAAACAAAAAAAGUGGAGAGCAAAGAACUAAGCAAUGAAAAAUAAAGGAGCCAAAUACUUGAGUAGGUAUCA